UACAGAGGUCCCAAGCGUUGUUCGGAUUCACUGGGCGUAAAGGGUGCGUAGGUGGUCGGAUAAGUCUGAUGUGAAAUCUCCGAGCUUAACUCGGAAAUGGCAUUGGAUACUAUUCGGCUAGAGGAUUGGAGGGGGGACUGGAAUACUUGGUGUAGCAGUGAAAUGCGUAGAUAUCAAGUGGAACACCAGUGGCGAAGGCGAGUCCCUGGACAAUUCCUGACACUGAGGCACGAAAGCUAGGGGAGCAAACAGG
rnacentral:misc_RNA from 1 species